CACUCACUGUUUUACGAAUUGACAACAAGCUUAGAGCAUUCACAUGAAAUCCAAAGCUCACGUGAUUUGAUCAAAAGACGUAUAGAGUCCCACGUUACACAUAACAAGACCUGGUUUCUAGUUUCCAGAAUUGUUAUGAUGAAACGUGAUUGACCGUGGUAAAAUUGAUGAAAUAGCAAAUACAGAUGACGAGAAUAUCGACUUAAGAUGGCUGAAGUAUAGACCAUGAUGUGAACCCAGAAAUCCAAAAGAGGUGAUAAUUUCUUCUCUUAAAUUUACCCGAGAAUUGCAUAGCCUUUACCAUUGAUAAUACAGCACCAGAAAAAUAAAACUACACAUUGUAUUUAGAUAUGAUCGAACUGCAAAUUCUCCAUACAAUAUAGUAAUGUUUUAUGUGCAGGAAUAUGCUAAUAUAUUGUAAUUGACCAAUCAGUACAUAUUUUGGUAACUUUAUAUUAAAGCUAUAAAGUAAAGUCACAA